GUUAAUCAGGUUAUCCAUAAGUAUGGCUGUUUUUUCUAUCAGUAUUUCUUUGAUCUUUGCUCAGUAAUGUGUUUAUUUUUAGAUUUUGAUAAUUUUUCAAUCAUAGUUUAGAAUUUCUUGUGCAUUUUAUGUGGUUUUAAGUGUCAGACCACCAAUUCACCCACUCCAAUUUAGAACGUACAUGUAAAAGUAGCCUUUUCCUGACAAAAAUAGUGCCUUCUAUGUCAUUGUUUACUUUCAAUAACCAACAAAUUUGCAGGAAUAAAAUUUUUAGUGAAAGAGAAUUAUUUUAAUAGACAAUUGUGGGCUAAAAAUCAAGUGUACUUUACUUUACAUUAAAAAUUUAGUAUUAAUGUGCUCCCUAGUAUACU
rnacentral:lncRNA from 1 species